UCCUGAUAGCUCAGAUGGUAAAGAAUCUGUCUCCAAUGCAGAAGACCCAGGUUCAAUUCCUGGGUGAGGAA
rfam:TPA: Bos taurus chromosome 6, whole genome shotgun sequence.